rnacentral:tRNA from 1 species
GCGGACGUAGCUCAAUGGUAGAGCCACAGCCUUCCAAGCUGAGGACGCCGGUUCGAUCCCGGCCGGCCGCUCCA